rnacentral:rRNA from 1 species
GAUGAACGCUAGCUACAGGCUUAACACAUGCAAGUCGAGGGGUAACAAGAGGAAAGCUUGCUUUUCUUGUUGACGACCGGCGCACGGGUGAGUAACGCGUAUCCAACCUGCCUAUAACUAGGGAAUAACCUUGCGAAAGUAAGACUAAUACCCUAUGAUUUCCUUUGAUGACAUCAGAUUAGGAAUAAAAAUUUAUCGGUUAUAGAUGGGGAUGCGUCUGAUUAGCUUGUUGGCGGGGUAACGGCCCACCAAGGCAACGAUCAGUAGGGGUUCUGAGAGGAAGGUCCCCCACAUUGGAACUGAGACACGGUCCAAACGCCUACGGGAGGCAGCAGUGAGGAAUAUUGGUCAAUGGGCGGAAGCCUGAACCAGCCAAGUAGCGUGCAGGAUGACGGCCCUAUGGGUUGUAAACUGCCUUUAUACAGGAAUAAAGUUAGCCACGUGUGGUUAUUUGUAGGUACUGUAUGAAUAAGGACCGGCUAAUUCCGUGCCAGCAGCCGCCGCCG